UACGAAGGGGGCGAGCGUUGUUCGGAAUUACUGGGCGUAAAGGGCGCGCAGGCGGCAUCGGAAGUCAGGCGUGAAAGCCCCGGGCUCAACCUGGGAAUUGCGCUUGAUACUCCGGCGCUGGAGUUCGGGAGAGGAGAGUGGAAUUCCCAGUGUAGAGGUGAAAUUCGUAGAUAUUGGGAAGAACACCGGUGGCGAAGGCGGCUCUCUGGACCGAUACUGACGCUGAGGCGCGAAAGCGUGGGGAGCAAACAGG
rnacentral:rRNA from 1 species